rnacentral:lncRNA from 1 species
GGCUUGGGUCUUCCCAGCAGCCUAAAUACCUCACUCAUUUUAAAGGGUCUCCCUUUCCUGUUACCACCAUGCUAGGGAUAGAACCUUACAACCCCCAAUGACUUAGGGAUGGAUUCAAUAGGCAAACCCUAGCGGCCUCUGUGCUCCAUGUUCUUCCUCUCCAUCCUUAGACUUAGAGGGGAGCUGGGCCUCUUGGACUGUCACUGUGUUGGAUCCAUAGUUUGGGUGGAAGGGGUUCUUUAAUUAGCCUACGGUAAUGGGAAUGAGGAAGCAAAACAACAAAAGUGUGUGAAAUGAGACUGGUGCCAGGAGUAAGGGCUGUACUUCAUUCUAUAGAGUGUUCUUCGAUCAAAAUGCAAGAUGCCGACACUCAGUACCAUCUUUGCUCCUUUGCAGGGUACCCAGGAACUAUCUUCAUUGGCUCAUGAUAUGUAACUGUUAGGUCUCAGAAACCCUGGACAAAUGGCUGGCUUGCUUAUUAACAUAUCAAAGCCAACACUGGCCAGCUCUCCCUGCAUCCCUCAGUACCUGUGGCUCCUCCUAGGUUACUUGAACCUUAACCUGAUCCCUAUGGAACUCAACCAUUUUGGUCUCUUGGCCUGGGACACCUCUCUUGAUCUGUGGCUUCUCUCCUGAUCUCCCUCCUACUCUCUCCUCUCAUGGUCAGGUUUAAUCUGCAGGCCGUGUUCAGCCUAUACACUUCCCUCUGCCUACUCUCUCCCUUAUAUCUACAAUAAAAACCUUCUCCAUAUUUUAUGCAUGAUCUCCUUUUAUUCAUUUUUAUUUCUCUUAUUUGGAGUGGUGGUGGUAUAGUUUGGGAUUUUUCUUUUUUCUUUUUUUCUUUCUUUUUUUGGUUUUUUAAGACAGGGUUUCUCUGUAUAGCCCUGGCUGUCCUGGAACUCACUUUGCAGACCAGGCUGGCCUUGAACUCAGAAAUCUACCUGCCUCUGCCUCCCAAGUGCUGGGAUUAAAGGCAUGUGCCACCAUGCCCUAGUUUGGGUUUUCAAGACAGGGUUUCACUCUGUUAUCCUGGCUGUCCUAGAACUCUCUGUAGACCAGGCUGGCCUAGAACUCACAAAGAUGCCUCUGCCUCCUGAGUGUGCAUCACCACUGACCAUUUCUCUCUCUCUCUUCCUCUCUCUCUCUUUCUCUCCCUCUCUCUCUCCCUCUCUCUCUCCUUCCCUCCCUCCCUCCCUCC